UAUCAGUGCAUCACUAUGAGAUUGAUAGCCACUGUUGAGUGCAGCAAUGAACGGCUGACAGUUGCAGGAACGCUCUCCAAUUUCCCACCAAAUCCAGAACACUCGAUUUCGUGACAAAUAAUUUUCAAACUGAAAAUGACUCCAACAAACCCAAAAAUGCGGAAUUAUAAUCUUGAAUAAGUGAGCACAAUAUUUUCGCAACCACAACACUCCACAUUCACAAUGCUUGUGUACGUGGUAGAUGAUUCCCCCACCUUCCUCUUCCUCUACUGCCUCAUCUUCCUGCUCUUCUUUCUUCUUCUCUUCCGCUUCGUUGUCGUUCUGCUCUUUCUCCUCCUCCUCUUCCUCCUCUGCUCCGACCUCGUCCACCUCCUCUCCGCCCUAUGUCCUUGAAUCAACAAAAUUUCAUGCUACUUCAAUUGAUAAUGGCGAUGAAUGCAUAUUAGUAUCAAAACUGGAGUACUAUCUGCUUAUUUCUAGACUCUAGUAUGUUUAGAAUGUACAUAUUUGCAGUUUAAAUCUUAUGUAAGAAAUAAUUUGCACGCUUUUUUUUUUCUCUGUAUAUGUUUUCUGAUUGGGCUGACCUUUAAAAAUUCAUGAAAGCCCAAACCCGUGAAAGCAACCAUAAGCCCAAGGGUUUCCACUAAAGUUGUAAAUAAAGGAGCUGAAAACCUGCGCCUUUUUCAGUGUUACUGUUCAAUUCAGGAAGCGCCGUAGGCUGAGAAAAACUUAUCUUUCACCAUGAGAGCCAAGUGGAAGAAGAAGCGUAUGAGAAGGUUGAAGAGGAAGCGCCGAAAGAUGAGGCAAAGAUCCAAGUAGUUUGAUUCCCUUAGGGAUUUCUAGUUCCUUUUUGAUAAUCUCAAUGUGUAAUUGUACUUUGCUACCCUGCCGGAUUACAUUCGGAUAUAAAUUUCUUUCCCCACUUUGUUACUCCCUCCGUCCACUAAUUCAAGGCCUACUUUCCUUUUUGGUCCGUCCACCAACUCAAGGCCUAUCUAUUUUUAGUAAGUUUUUAUUCAUAUUUUAAUUAGUGGGUCUCAAUAAUCAAUACACUUUUUUUCCACUCAACUAAUAAAUAAUACAUUUUGUGGGUCCCUUUCUCCACUCAAUCAAUAAACAAUACAUUUUGUGGAUCCCUUUCUCCACUCAACUAAUAAAAAUACACUUUUUCUUAAAACUCGUGUUUUUUCAUGUAGGCCUUGAAUUAGUGGACGGAGGGAGUACAUUUAUACGUAAUGCUGGUGGUUACUGCUUCUGAUAUUAUUUAUUUAAGUCUUCUGUAAGACUUGUUCAGAAUUUGAUUUCAAGUUUGGAAGAAAAUUUGCACUAUAGAAUUGGUGAUCAGAGUUGGUUAGUUUCCACCAUUGUUUUUUUAGUAGCUUGUUUCUUAAUACUCCCUCCGUCCCGCUCCAAAUGUCUCAUUUCUUUCCAAAUGUCUCAUUUCUUUUGGGCACGGAGAUUAAGAAAUGUGUAUAAAGUAGAUAAAGUGGGUUGUUGGAAAUUAUUGAGUAUAGAGAGAUAGUGUAUUGCCAAAGAAGGAAUGAGACAUUUGGAGUGAGACAACCCAAAAUCGAAAAUGAGACAUUUGGAGUGGCACGAAGGGAGUAACAUGGCUAUGUUUAUUUAUAACUUUUGCAUUUGAAUUGCUACAGAUUGGCUAUACCUAUAAAGUUUACAUGAUCUUUGCUUUCUUUUAUUUUUGAAGAUGCACUAGAGAGCUGUUGUAUAGACUGCGAAAUACAUGCAGCUUUUGCCUUAACUCCCUUUGACUGUUGUCCUUUCACAGGAGAAUAAUUUAAGUAAGAUUGGGAAUUCCUUUUGUUUUUGGAGGGUUGUGUUAGGUCCUAAUAAAGAAAUUAUACCCUAUUAUCUACGCGACAGGAAUAAUCCACAAUGCAAUAACUUGAUUUUUCAAUACUAGGUUUGUUUUGUUGUUGGAUGAUAUUAUUAGUCCUCUGAUAAAUAAUAAUCUCAUUGUUGCACCAACCCAUCUAGACCUAGUAAUAGUUCACCUCUGUCAUCUUCCAGCAGCACCAGCGAGGAGGCAAAUGAAUUUAUACGCCAUUUACAAUAGAAAAUCUCAUAAAUCAUGGUUUUGUAUAUUAGGUUGCAUUGUGUCCUCAGAAUGCUGAAGGCAUCGAUCUCCACAGAAUGUGAUUUGAACAGCGCAAGGCAAGUAAGUGUAACAUGCUUGAACUAGACACCCUCCAUGUGCGGUGUUCUUUGAAUCUUCUUCUGAUGCCAAAACAUCUUGUUGUUUCUUUGUUAUUCAUAAGCUUUUGGCUUGACUACGACAAAUUAUAUCCACUAGCCAAGAUACUGACUGCUCAAAACAAUAUGAUUGUCAAGUUAGGCCUUGAGUUAUCAAUGUUGUAGAAUCAAUCAGUUAGCUCUUUGGAGUUAUUUGUAGUAACCUUAUCUACAUCUUAAAGAGAUUAUUGAUUUCAUGUUUAGGGUGUCAUAUAUGGUUGCACGGCGACUUUUACCCGGAAAAAGCUGAUUAGUCCUAGCAUCAAGUCUCUAGCUGCUCAUUUGUGCUUAUUUAGCUGCUUGCCAUAUGUUCUUCCUUUUGAGAUCAAUCAUAUUAAUCUUCACUCAGUAAAGACAUAUUCAGAGACAGUUUGGUGGCAUUAAAUUGACAUGUACGGUAGCACUUGUGUCGAUGAUCGGUUUUGUAGAUUUGGUAUCAAUAACUUUCGUGGAGUACUUGAAUUGUACUAAGAUAUGGGAUCACUUGAACGUGCAUGAGUCAGGGUCCCCCUCGGGUGCGAGUCAGGGUCCCCCCAGUGCAAGUCAGGGUCCCCCCAGCGGCCACGUACCAGAACUUUCUGUAUUAGUCCAUUAAUCUGGGAGGUAGGGAAUGUGGUUUGCUUGUAGCGUUGAUGGUUGAGAGCUGAAAGUGAUGUGUCUUAGGUUUCUUCUGUUGCACUUGCACAUGAAUUAAGAUUGAAUACAUCUUUCAGAAACCAGAUCUCAUGUUCCCUCCAUGAAUGGUUCUGUAUUAAGAUGGCAUCUUCAUUGUUUUGUCUCUCGCGCUGUUCUCUGGGGAUGAAAAGCAGUUUGGUGAUCCUUAAGCUUAUGAGGGGAAUGCUGAGCAUAUUCCCUCCACUGCCAACUCGGUAUGAUUUGCUCGAUCGAGAUGUGGGAGAAGACGAGGAUGCCUUGCCGGUAGAUGUGAAGGAGGGGCAAUUCGCUGUCCAUACAGUUGAUAAUGGCAUUUUGAGGAGGUCUGUUGUGGAGCUGAUUUACCUGACUAACCCUGAAUUUCUGAAGUUGUUAGAGCUAGCAGAGCAAGAGUUCGGUUAUGGACAGAUGGGCAUUCUCGUCAUUCCAUGCACGUAUGGUCAUCUUCAAUCUGUUAUUGGGAAAAAGUGAAGAAAUUUAUGAUUAGGUAAGGUUGUGAUGGAAGCUUACAUUCCAUCAUGAUUCCUUAUUCUGUUUGAUUACGCUGUCCAAGUGUUUUAUGCUAUUCUACGCAGUUUAUUGCCUUAAAUCUUUGUAUGUAUGUUUUCUUUUUAAUCUUUAUAUGUGUAUGUUUUCUUUUUAUAUAUACAGAUUUUAAUGUGUCCAA